GAGAAUUUUCCCUCGUUCACCUAAAAGGCAAAAUUAGACAAGAAAGGUAAGCAUAUACGCUAAUGAAAAGAGUGAUUAAGCACACAAGAAAAUCUAGAUGGGGUCAUCCAGUGCCCACUUAAAUUUAGGGAAAGGAUCUUUUCUGUUGGUGUUGUAUUAACGAAGGUAGAAUCUUAAAUUCUGUUUCACGAUCACUCGUUAAGGGCACUAACUUCUUUGCCUCCGCAUUUUAGCUCCCCAACUUAUACUCCCCAUAUCUCUGUAUUUACUCAUCCUUAUUAGCUCUGUAAGCUGCGACUGCCAUAUCUGUGUCCAAUCAUCUGUGUCAUCCAAUCCCCGAUUGUAACGGGAUCGCUUUGUGGUAGAGAGCCUCGUAUGCAAGUCUGGGCCUCUGGCCAUAUCUCUGUCAUACAUAGCUCUGCUUUUGGCAUCAGAUAAGGUCUCAUAAGCCUCCUGAAUCUGAAUAAACAUUUUAGUGCAUUCCUCUGUUCUUCCUGGAGGUGAAACGUCAGGAUGGUACUUCCUGGCAAGUUGUUUAUAAGCUUUCUUAAUCUCUGAGAGAGUUCCAUUCUUGGGGAUGCCCAACAAAUCGUAGAAACUCUCUGUGUUUACACAAACGCUAUCAGCAGCUGCGGCCUUAAUAGGAGUAGUUCUGAUGGAUUUGGAAUGAGUUUUGAGGGAAUAAAAACUUGAUUUUGGAAAAUGGGUAUUGAAGCUAAGGUGAGAAGAUGGCUCAAGAAAGGAUUUUUUGGUUGAGAGAUAGGGUUUUGAGACGGUGUGGAAGCUAGCAUAACUUCCAGUAGAGAUCAUUCCGCUACUCAUAUUUUUGUGUGUUUCUGUGUUGCUUUCUUGCUUGUUCUGAUGUGAAGCCUAUAUAUAGAGGAAGAGGGAAGAGCACCAGGAGAGCCAAGUAAAUAUGCAAAGGAAAAAAAAUUAUAAUUAGACAAUCAAUUUAUUUUUUUAAACAAGUUUGGAAAUAUAUUUUCAUGCUAUGUUUAUUCAUUAUCCAUAUUCUUUCCUAGUUUCUGUUUUUAGUAGUUUUCUUAGCUGGUACGUUUAGUUUCUUAUUUCUUUCUUAGUCUCCAGAAAUGGAGUUGUAGAUAGAAAAAUUACACAACAAAAUAAUGUAUAUAUAUCAUAUUCAUUAUAAUUUGUUAAUUGUGGUGAAUUUCACGUAAGUCUUAUCAUGAUUAAUGAUUAUAAUUUAAUCGUUGUAUGUACAUCAGUUUCACCGAAUAAAAAUUCAGUGACAAUGGAGAUUUU
rnacentral:misc_RNA from 1 species